CACGUAGGGUGCGAGCGUUGUCCGGAAUUAUUGGGCGUAAAGAGCUCGUAGGCGGUGUGUCGCGUCGGCCGUGAAAACCUGCAGCUUAACUGUGGGCUUGCGGUCGAUACGGGCAUCACUGGAGUUCGGCAGGGGAGACUGGAAUUCCUGGUGUAGCGGUGAAAUGCGCAGAUAUCAGGAGGAACACCGUGGCGAAGGCGGGUCUCUGGGCCGAUACUGACGCUGAGGAGCGAAAGCGUGGGGAGCGAACAGG
rnacentral:rRNA from 1 species